AGAGUUUGAUCCUGGCUCAGGAUGAACGCUAGCGGCAGGCCUAAUACAUGCAAGUCGAACGGUGUAGCAAUACACAGUGGCGCACGGGUGCGUAACACGUAUGCAACCUACCUAUCAUUGGGGGAUAGCCUUUGGAAACGGAGAUUAAUACCGCAUAAGACAGUAACAUGGCAUCAUGUAGCUGUUAAAGCUUUGGCGAUGAUAGAUGGGCAUGCGUCCAAUUAGUUAGUUGGUGAGGUAACGGCUCACCAAGACGAUGAUUGGUAGGGGAUCUGAGAGGAUAAUCCCCCACACUGGCACUGAGAUACGGGCCAGACUCCUACGGGAGGCAGCAGUAGGGAAUAUUGGGCAAUGGACGGAAGUCUGACCCAGCCAUGCCGCGUGCAGGAAGAAGGCGUUAUGCGUUGUAAACUGCUUUUUUAUAGGAAGAAGGAGACCUUGCGAGGUUUGGUGACGGUACUAUAAGAAUAAGCACCGGCUAACUCUGUGCCAGCAGCCGCGGUAAUACGGAGGGUGCGAGCGUUGUCCGGAUUUAUUGGGUUUAAAGGGUGCGUAGGCGGUUUAUUAAGUCAGUGGUGAAAGACGGUCGCUCAACGAUUGCAGUGCCAUUGAUACUGGUAGACUUGAGUUCGUAUGAGGUAGCUGGAAUGGAUAGUGUAGCGGUGAAAUGCGUAG
rnacentral:rRNA from 1 species